UACAAACCAAAAGGAGAAGUAGCAGGAGAAAAGGAGGAGCAGGAGGUGGGGAGUGAGAGAACAUCAUCAUGACACACCGAUAAAAACCCCAAACCAGCAGUUUCAGUCACUUUAGUCUGAAGCUCAAAGUUUGACUCAACAUCCAGUAGCGUGAAAUGGUAAUAAUUUCUCAUAAAACAAGUAAUUGGCAAAGGUAAAUUACUGUCUCUGUUUUUUGUUUUCCUGUACUUCUUAAUUUUUUACAACCUUUUUCUGUUUACACAUACUUUAUUUUAUGGAUGUUUUCAUCCAAAAUAUCAUACAGUUGAGCUUAGCAGUGAAGUCACUCUACAAGAAUUGAGUCCGCGACCUCCAAAUUCUAACCAGAGAAUCCUAACCCACUGAGACACCCAGCAUACCAACUGAAAUCUGGGAGGACCAACAAACCACAGCCCUGAACAAACAGAUCUGAUCUUAGUGUGAAUACAGUCUUCAGUUCCACCAAGUGCCAAUGGCAGCAGCAUCGACAGAAGUGGGCGGCAGAACUACAGAGCGAGAGAGACCUCUUCACAUUCUCACUGUCAACGUUAAUGGGCUGAAAACAAAUGGCAAAGGACUCAUAGAAGAACUUGAAAAAUUAAAAUCUGAAAACAGGGAGGUUGAUGUUCUUUUCUUAACAGAGACUCGCAUUGGA